rnacentral:rRNA from 1 species
AGUGAACGCUGGCGGUAGGCCUAACACAUGCAAGUCGAACGGCAGCACAGUAAGAGCUUGCUCUUACGGGUGGCGAGUGGCGGAUGGGUGAGGGAUACAUCGGAAUCUGCUUUUUCUUGGGGGAUAACGUAGGGAAACUUACGCUAAUACCGCAUACGACCUACGGGUGAAAGCAGGGGAUCUUCGGACCUUGCGCGAUUGAAUGAGCCGAUGUCGGAUUAGCUAGUUGGCGGGGUAAAGGCCCACCAAGGCGACGAUCCGUAGCUGGUCUGAGAGGAUGAUCAGCCACACUGGAACUGAGACACGGUCCAGACUCCUACGGGAGGCAGCAGUGGGGAAUAUUGGACAAUGGGCGCAAGCCUGAUCCAGCCAUACCGCGUGGGUGAAGAAGGCCUUCGGGUUGUAAAGCCCUUUUGUUGGGAAAGAAAAGCAGCAGGUUAAUACCCCGCUGUUCUGACGGUACCGAAAGAAUAAGCACCGGCUAACUUCGUG